AGUCGUACGCUUUCUUUUUGCCACCGGAGCUUGCUCCACCGGAAAAAGAAGAGUGGCGAACGGGUGAGUAACACGUGGGUAACCUGCCCAUCAGAAGGGGAUAACACUUGGAAACAGGUGCUAAUACCGUAUAACAAUCGAAACCGCAUGGUUUUGAUUUGAAAGGCGCUUUCGGGUGUCGCUGAUGGAUGGACCCGCGGUGCAUUAGCUAGUUGGUGAGGUAACGGCUCACCAAGGCCACGAUGCAUAGCCGACCUGAGAGGGUGAUCGGCCACAUUGGGACUGAGACACGGCCCAAACUCCUACGGGAGGCAGCAGUAGGGAAUCUUCGGCAAUGGACGAAAGUCUGACCGAGCAACGCCGCGUGAGUGAAGAAGGUUUUCGGAUCGUAAAACUCUGUUGUUAGAGAAGAACAAGGAUGAGAGUAACUGUUCAUCCCUUGACGGUAUCUAACCAGAAAGCCACGGCUAACUACGUGCCAGCAGCCGCGGUAAUACGUAGGUGGCAAGCGUUGUCCGGAUUUAUUGGGCGUAAAGCGAGCGCAGGCGGUUUCUUAAGUCUGAUGUGAAAGCCCCCGGCUCAACCGGGGAGGGUCAUUGGAAACUGGGAGACUUGAGUGCAGAAGAGGAGAGUGGAAUUCCAUGUGUAGCGGUGAAAUGCGUAGAUAUAUGGAGGAACACCAGUGGCGAAGGCGGCUCUCUGGUCUGUAACUGACGCUGAGGCUCGAAAGCGUGGGGAGCAAACAGGAUUAGAUACCCUGGUAGUCCACGCCGUA
rnacentral:rRNA from 1 species